rfam:Salmo salar isolate Sally breed double haploid chromosome ssa20, whole genome shotgun sequence.
UAGCUCAGUUGGUAGAGCAUGGUGUUUGCAACGCCAGGGUUGUGGGUUCAAUUUCCAC